GGGAGCCACCGGGCACGCGGCUGCUCUGCCAGCUGGCGCAAAACCAGUCCAGCCUCCCACCCGCCGAGGGGCCGGUGGGUAAUGCUGCUGGGGCUUGCUUUUCUUUUCCAUCAUCUCCAACGCUGCCUCGAUUCAGAACAAAUUAAAGCAUUGAGUGUCUCCGAAAGCUCCGAAUAACUUGCGCUUUCUGAUCUUAUGCCCCCUGCUCCGUGCAUGACUCUUGUUUGCCUUCCCUCGCCCUGCAUCUAGAGGAGAGAUUACAAGUUGCACCAUCAGCAGACGAGCAAGGUUUAAGCCCCAAGGAAGGGUCUGAGUCAUCUCCCUGAGAGAAUAUUUUAGCCAUACAUCAUUGUUUGUUUUCAGGCAAACCAGUACAAUUAUGCAACAUAAAUUCUUUUAAAGCAUUUGGGACUUCAGUUCAAUUUAAAACCCUGUAGGUUUUAUGGCCAGAGUGAGUGAUUACUAAGUGCGCGCAUACAAACGAGGACUGGGGAAGAAGCAUGCGGAGAGGAUUAAAGGGCAUGUGGCACCUCAGGCUCACGCUGGGCAAGCUCCGGCCAGGCUGUCACAGAGGACGGGAGAUCUGAAGGGCCCACGUCAAAAGGAUGCAAAACAAAUCCCCCUCCUUCGAGCACAAACUCCGCGUGAUCCGUUCCUGCACGAGCAAGAUGCAAAGCCCGGGCGUGUAACCUCCAAAGAUGCACCCGCACCCAAAGAGCUCAGCACCUGCGCUGAGCACCGGCAGGACCCGCUCCGUGCCGAGCGUAACCAGUGGUCCUGCGGCCGCCGGGACAACUGGGAGGAAGCCCAGACCCAGCCCGUGCCCCGCAGCGCCCAGCUCAGCCUCGGCACUCGUCGGCGCUGCCUGCUGUGGUGAAAAACGUGCGUGGUUAUUAAAACAUUACCAGGAGCGGGAUGAAAGGAAUCAGUAAUUCAGCGCUCGCAAAGAAAACCAAAUUGUCAACAAUAGGGUUUUUUUUUAUCAGCAUCAUCAUCAUUAUCAUCACUACUAUUUAAAGGCCCAGUGCUCACUGUCGUGCUCUUGUAGUAAUAAAGGUAAUAAAAUUACUGUAUAAACAAGGUCUUGGUCCUUGUGAACUGCAGACCCCAGCGAGAGAACCGGCAGCUAGAGGUGCAACAAGCAGAAAGCAAAGAAAAAGACCCCAAAGCCUGGCUUAACAUGCUUUCUUUGAAAUGUACUCUCAUGCUCUUGGGAGGCUUGGCAAAUAAAUCAGAGUUUACAAUGCCAGCUACCUAUUUAUUUAUUUCUCCUUCUGCAUAAAGGAGUGGAGCCUACAGUAUGUUUUUUUUCUCUCUUUUUUAAGGGAAUAUACAGACAGAUUUGCACCUCCACAUUCUUUUUUUACUUACGCAGAUGUAAACUCCACUAAAGCCGGGGGAAUUAUUGACAACCGAGGCAAACCAAGGCCAGACUCUGACCUAUUGAUUUCCCCGAGAUUGCACAGGACGUACGUAGUUCAUUGCAGAAUGCGGUCUUUGUUUUGUUUAUUACUCAAUAUAUAACAAUGUGGAAUAAAGAACAACGCCGAACUGCAGAAAUGCCUGAGGAUUUCUCUUUAAUUGAAAUCAGGACUGGGAACAUCCUUGUAAAUCAAGAGCAGUCGGCCUUUGAGAAAAUUCAUUGCUUUUGCAAAGUUUACUUUCAAAUGGGAUUUAGCUUUAACUCUUUGUCUCUCACAGCAGCUCAGCUAAAUAGCUUUUAACGAUUUCUCUGGAGGGGCUACGCGCUGCUCAACAGUCUGGAAACUUCCAGGUGCCGCAGAUGCUGGGCGGGAUUCUUAUUUAUACUAAAGAUGAGAACAGCAGUUGAGAAAAAUCAAAUACACGUAAUUAUUAUUAGAGGUAUUCCUGAUAUCGGUCUAAAUCUGUAUUUUUAAAAAGCUGGAUGCUCCUCCAAAGCAGGAUUUUGGUUCAGGCCAUUAAGAACCUCCUGGUAAAAUUAUGACCUGGAUCUGAAUUUUACUUAAGUUUGAUGCUGCUUGAGAUUAACUUUGAAGGCAGAGCCCUGGGCCACAGAGCGCACUUAACCCCGUCAGCAGUUCGGCUGCAGUUCCAUCCCCCUCGGGGAGCGCUUCAGCCCCCCGUAACGGGGCGCCAGCCACGGGAGCAGAGGAAAUGUCCCGAUUACAGUCCCCCCACUUCCCACACCGGAGCCCCCUGAGCAUUAUGAAACAGCCGAACAGCAGCGUUUCUGCUUCGCUGAAGAUUUCACACUGGGACUUUCCUUCUUCAGCUGUGUUUUUCCAAACUCGCAUUUGCAGGGGCUCUCAUUUCAGUGCUUUUCUUGGAAUGAGAUGCCUCAUAAUUAUUUAUAACAAAAGGGUUCGUCCUUCCAGCCUACUGUACACGGGCAGCACGCUGAACGCCAAGUCAGCGGCAGCAGGCUGCAAGAGGAUCAGGCUAUUAAGAUUAAUGCAACAAAUUUGAAUUCUUCCAUCCCCUCCCUCCAGCAACCCGUCUGUGUGUGUGUGCGUGUGGCUGGGAAGGAAAAGAAAGGGCUCCUGUGCUCCAGAAUAAUAGCGAACGCUACCGAAGAGGAAAAAGGAAAACACUGUUUAUCCCUAGCAGGAAGAUAAUUGAUCUAUAGUCUGCCCACAACUGGUCUCAAAGCAGCCAGUAGCUACGCAGCAGAGACUGUAGCUAACCAGAGCCCAAACCCGCCUGUCAGACAAAAGCUUUAUGGGGACACCAGGGAGAACAAAAGUAGCGCGUUUCAUUCCUUCAUAAUAAAUCUCCCAUCUUUAUUGUGCAGAGAUGUUCUGCUCCUGAGCGUGCCGUGUUUGGGAGCGGGGCUCGCCCUCGCCGCCCCCACCACAAGGCUUGGUGGGGACCCAGAGCAGCCAGCCUGAGCCCAGCUGCUUUCUCGGGCUCUGGGGUUUAUUUUUGCUGCGCACAGCCAGGCCCAGCUGUUCUCUGCAUCCUCAGACAGCGGCAGCUCUUGAGCUCCAGCUCGAUCACUCUCUAUUUUAUGUGCGCUAAAGGAUCAAUCAAAGGUCUAAUUUGUUCUCGUGUAUUCACCUCUGCAAAGCACGCAAAGCACCAGGCAGCGCAUUGUUUACUGUCGUUCAGGCUCACAUGCAGCGCUCGGCUCCGGAUCCGGCAGAGGAUACGUAAAGAUGACAAUUUCUUCAUUAUCCGAACCAUUGGAAAAGGCAAAAAAAGCAUACUAACCUGCUUUAUUUCAAAUCAGGUCAAUUUUUUUUUUUUUCUCGGCUAUAAAGCAGCAGUGGCAACCACUUAAGAAUUCCAGCAUUAUGACUGUAUAUCAUCAUUAUCACCUAGAGUAGAUUAUGAAUAGGUAUUUUCUUACAAUAGCACAUGAAGCCUGAGAAAAUGAAAGAUGUUUUCCUAUUCUUUAGGCCUUUUGGGGGUAGAAAGAGGGGUGGAAAGAGAGAAUUAAAUAUUAACAGAGCGAACAGAUCACUAAGCAAAAAACAAUUAAAUAGCACAGCAUCCAUUCAACAAUAACAGCAAAUCAUGAUGCAACUGCUGAGCAUGGGGUGACAUACUAAUCACGGAUUAAAGGGACUGAUUUGUGUCUCAUGAGUAUUCAUGGGCAAAACCUGAUACGUGCAAACUGAUCUCGGGGAAAUAUGUUUUGUGGGAAACAUGAGGUUAUACGAGUGUCUGAGCAAAAUGAUGAUGGCUUUUCUUGACUGUGCCAUAGGGAGGAAGGAAAUAUUUACCUUUUUAUCUCCUACUUUCUUGUUUCGUGGAGUUGUUUUCCUCCUCUCUACCAAACGAGACGCAGAUAUUUUUCCCCAUCUACCUGCCCAUUCUUAUAUUUGCCUGAGCAAAUACAGGUGAUCCCCAAAACCCACUCCCAUCGUUCAAUGUCACCCAGAAAAUCAAAGGUCAGGAUGAACCAUGGAGCAUGCCAUCGUGGGCAACAUUCCUCUAACGGCAUCCAGCAGGCAGUGGAUCUGACCACGAACCACCCCUAUAAGGGGAGAAUGAGGCGGUGUAAAUCCAGCCCCGUACCCGAUGCGCUGUCAGCAAUUGCACAGGGCUCGUCACCUGGGGAAGAGGCCAUGGGACAGAAAAACCUCCUCCCUAGGCGGGAGCAUCUUUGCCAUUAGAGUUGCCUGGCUUGGCUUCAGCACAAAGAUUGCUGUUAGUCAUACAGUACUAUGCAGCCUUUUUUCUUCCAGUUACUUUCAGCUCAGGAUGUAGGAAAAUUAAAAACACUCGUGGGCCAAAUUACGGUCUCCUGAAGAAAUUUCCUUCAUAGACCAGAGAAGACUCCAACCCGUCCUGUACUGAGAAAAGGUCAAAUAUACUAAAUAGCGCUCUCUCCACUCCCUCAACGAGGGCGAAGAAGGUCACACCCGCCUCGUGAAAAGCCACAGAGCUCUACAGCUCUUCCAGGAUCAAUUCUGUCUCCUGCUCCUACUGCUCCCGGGCCUCGCACUGCGGCACGGGAAGUCCUCUGCUGGCCUCCAGCCACUGCUGAAGCCAGCAGGUAGGAGACGCGAGGAGUAGUGCUGCUGAGGGCAGCUUAACUGCCGGGGUCAAGGCUCAACGUGCCUUCUCUGCUCUGCUCUUCGUUCUCCACUCACAUUCCUCACUCAACGCCCACCUGCCUUUCCCCAGGCUCCUUUCAGCCCCGGGAAGGAAAAUCGUCUCCAGUGGUGUCUGAACACCAGCUAUUGCCGUGUCGGUAGGGAGCCACGUGCUUUGUGCAAAAGACUCUCGGGAAAUGAUGCUUGGCAAUAUUUUCCACGAAACAACAACUCUAAAACAAGGAGGAGGUCACCUGAGACUUCAGUGUCACUGAGGAGGCCAUUGCUGCGUAUCCUGAGGUGUCUGACUUACGUAGCUCCAGCCCUGGUAGAGCAGACUGGUUUCUUUUCCCCAUUUAACAGUUUGGAAAGUCCCCAAAUCCUCCAUCUACAUCCUCAUCUCUGCCAUCAAUCAACAAUGUCGGGGCAUUAACUGUUUGUUAAUAUUGAGAUCGCUCUUCUCCAUCAGCCUCUGAGCGGUUGUCGUCCUUUCAGCACAGUGAAAAAUCCGGCAACUAAGGCAGUACAUUUUUAUAAUCUUAAUGGAGCUCGUGCUUUAAAGGAGCUUAAACAGUGGGAAAGCCCCUGCGGAGAAUCCAGUGUUUUCAUAUGCAAGUCAGGUUUUUGGUUGUGUAUUAGCUGUUGUUAUUUUCAGUAGCCGGUGUUUCAUUUCUGUUCAGAAGCAAAUGUAAGAAAGCAAGCGAGCAAUUUAUAAUGAAAUAAUCAAUGCUGGUGGUGAA